rnacentral:rRNA from 16 species
AGGUUAGUUUUACCCUACUGAUGACAGUGUCGCAAUAGUAAUUCAACCUAGUACGAGAGGAACCGUUGAUUCAGAUAAUUGGUUUUUGCGGCUGUCUGACCAGGCAGUGCCGCGACGCUACCAUCUGCCGGAUUAUGGCUGAACGCCUCUAAGUCAGAAUCCAUGCCAGAACGGGGUGAUUUCCGCCUGCACCAGUCGGAUACGAAUAGGCCUUUGGCCCAGAACCUUACCAGAUCAGCGUUGGCAGCUUCAUUGAAAUUGGGGCUGCUAGCUGGUGUAUUGCAAUUGUACAGUGCGCAGGAUUGAAUCCUUUGCAGACGACUUAGUUGUCUAGCCGGGUCGUGUAAGUAGUCGAGU